AGGCUUUGGAGGAGGAGCUGGUGGAGGACAUACCGGAGGUGGAGGAUUCGGAGGCGGCGGAGGACUUGGAGGCGGAUCCGGAGGGGGAUUCGGAGGCGGCGGUGGAACUGGAGGCGGUGUCGGCGGGGGAUUCGGAGGCGGCUUUGGACGCUGAAUUCCCGAUCCAGACAGCACUUCCACGCAGCGUAUUCAACAUCAGUCAAAUGUAACUGGUAAUAAAUAAUACGCUUGAACUACUAUUUGCUCUUUUUAUCCACACAAGAUAUUUAUUGAAAUACCGAUAGAUAAUGGUGUGUGUAUCUAUUUCUGAAUGCAUUAAAGAAGUAGGAUACGU
rnacentral:lncRNA from 1 species